AACCCAUGGUGAGGGCAUCGUUUCAAUAAGUCCUUAUACCUCUCCCAUGCAUCAUAUAGAGUCUCUAAAUCGAUCUUAACAAAAGAAGAGAUAUCAUUCCUUAACUU